rnacentral:lncRNA from 1 species
CCUGGAAGAGGUGGCCUUUGCCUCAUAUCUUGAAAGAUACAUAGGAGUUUUCUGGAAGAAGAAGUAGGAACGUGGCCACCAUAUCCUGAGAGUCAGGUCAGGUAAUACAUACUCCACACGGGAUUUUUAAAAAAUAAUGUUUCAUGGAAGUUAAACAAUUUGUCCAAGGGGAAGAAGAUGUGGAGGGGUCAUCACACACUCUCUGGGGAGACACCUGCCUCAUUCUGGACCCAGGUAGUGCUCAUCUUCUUCUAGAAACGGACAGACUCACAGUCUCUUAGGAUGAUGGAAGAUGGCCCAGAGGACGCAGUGAAAUCACCCGUGUUAGGCUGACGUCAGCCAGUGUUCUGUUCACCGAGCUGCCUGUCUUGCCAUCUUUACAGCAGUAUCAAAUCUUAUUUAUGGCCACACAGUAAAUCGACCUUACCC